GAUGAACGCUGGCGGCGUGCCUAAUACAUGCGAGUCGAGCGAACAGACGAGGAUCUUGCUCCUCUGACGUUAGCGGCGGACGGGUGAGUAACACGUGGAUAACCUACCUAUAAGACUGGGAUAACUUCGGGAAACCGGAGCUAAUACCGGAUAAUAUAUUGAACCGCAUGGUUCAAUAGUGAAAGACGGUUUUGCUGUCACUUAUAGAUGGAUCCGCGCCGCAUUAGCUAGUUGGUAAGGUAACGGCUUACCAAGGCAACGAUGCGUAGCCGACCUGAGAGGGUGAUCGGCCACACUGGAGCUGAGACACGGUCCAGACUCCUACGGGAGGCAGCAGUAGGGAAUCUGCCGCAAUGGGCGAAAGCCUGACGGAGCGACGCCACGUGAGUGAUGAAGGUCUUCGGAUCGUAAAACUCUGUUAUUAGGGACGAACAAAUGUGUAAGUAACUAUGCACGUCUUGACGGUACCUAAUCAGAAAGCCACGGCUAACUACGUG
rnacentral:rRNA from 1 species